rnacentral:lncRNA from 9 species
AUGUCAUGUGGCCUGUGCUUUGGACCGUGGUGCGUACCUAUGCUCCCUAUGUCACAUUCCCUGUGGCCUUUGUGGUCGGGGCUGUGGGCUACCACCUGGAAUGGUUCAUCAGAGGGAAGGAUCCCCAGCCUGUGGAGGAGGAGAAGAGCAUCUCAGAGCGCCGGGAGGACCGCAAGCUGGAUGAGCUGCUAGGCAAGGACCACACCCAGGUGGUGAGCCUUAAGGACAAGCUGGAAUUUGCCCCUAAAGCUGUCCUGAACAGAAACCGACCGGAGAAGAAUUAACGAAGGACACAGGGCCCUAUGGGUCCUUCAGUGGGCCUUGUCUGGCCCUGCCACCAUGUCGACCCAGCUCUAGAACCCACAUCUGAUUUGCUUUAUUGCUUCUGGCCCCUCUCGCCCCACACAGCCACACACUCUGGCUGCUCUGCUGCGGCCAGGCAGACGCGCUGGUAGCUGAGGGGCCAGUGAAGAGGAAGGCUCACGAGGGUUCUGACCUGAAAGUUGCAUCUGCUGGUUGGUGGCCACCGCUGCUCAGGCUUCUGCGCUGCUGGGUGCACCACUGGGAGGAGUUAUGAGAUGAACACUGGCUCUCAGUCCCUUCGGGGAAGCAGUUCGGCCCCAAGGGGGAGUGGCUGGGAUUGGGGGUUGUCUUUAGGAGGGAUACCUACAUGUCUAGUUCCAGUUCGCACUGGGAGGAGGUCACAGAUCUGCCUGGCUUGCCCUGUCCUUUGUGCUCAUUCUCCCUCCAGUCCUGGCCUAGCACUCAGGCAGGGAUUCCCCUGGGAAGGAAAGCCCUUUUGUUCUUGGGAGCCCAGGCUGUUCACCUUGGGGCAUGUGACUUCGCUUGAAAACAGUCACUACCUUUCACCCCCCCAUCACUGUUCAGAGCAAAACUUGAUUAAAGUGGUGUCUGAGAACCAUAUUGAUCUAAUCCUAUCUUCCAGGUGGUGUUGGGGUCUCCUUAGAGUUAUGCAAGUGCAGGUGACUCCAGACUCCUAUUCAUCUGUCAAAAUCCAGUCCAAUGACUUCUUUUUUGUCCUGCACCCUCUGUGGCUCGGAAGCAAGAUCCUUCCACUGGACCCUGACCGUCCCUUCCACCUGUCCCCACUGCCAUUGCCUGUUCUCACUGGGUAAGCUUCAGGUGCACGGGGAAGAGGUAUGGUGCAGGCCCUUGAGCUGCUCCUGCAGGUGGGCAGGCUAGAAAGGGCCCAGAUUGGAGGGGGCAUGUGAUCUACACCUGCCUCCCCAAAUUCCAAGGGGUGCAGGCCCAUUUGAGCUGGGCUCUGAAGGGCUUGGCUGGCAGGCAGGUCGCCUGGGGAGCAGCAUUCAGGAAGGACAUGUACUAGUGGGGAAUGAGGCCGGGGCACUGGAUGGCCUUGGGGCAGGAUGGGGACAGACACUGAUUUGGCCACUGGUUAGCAAGCAGGUCAAGGGGGCUGGGGCAGUGAGGAUGGAAAGAAGAGACUGGUGUUGAGGCAUUUCAAAAGGCAGGGUGUGGAGUUCCCAUUAUGGCUCAGUGGUUAACGAAUCCGACUAGGAACCAUGAGGUUGCGGGUUCGGUCCCUGCCUUGCUCAGUG